rnacentral:rRNA from 1 species
GAGUUUGAUCCUGGCUCAGAAUGAACGCUGGCGGCGUGCCUGAUACGUGCAAGUCGAGCGCGAAAGCGGCCUUCGGGCCGCGAGUAGAGCGGCGAACGGGUGAGUAACACGUGGGUAACCUGCCUUGGAGAGGGGAAUAACUUGGGGAAACCCGAGCUAAUGCCGCAUGAGUUCGCCGGACCUUCGGUGCCGGCGAGGAAAGGUGGCCUAUUCUUGAAAGCUGCCGCUCCAAGAGGGGCCCGCGUCCGAUUAGCUAGUUGGUGGGGUAACGGCUCACCAAGGCUACGAUCGGUAGCCGGCCUGAGAGGGUGAUCGGCCACACUGGAACUGAGACACGGUCCAGACCGCUACGGUGGGCAGCAGUACGGGAUAUUGCGCAAUGGGCGAAAGCCUGACGCAGCAACGCCGCGUGAAGGAUGAAGGCCUUCGGGUUGUAAACUUCUGUCAGGCGGGACGAACGAGCGGCGGUGAAUAGCCGCCGUCUCUUGACGGUACCGCCGGAGGAAGCCCCGGCUAACUCCGUGCCAGCAGCCGCGGUAAUAC